CGCGUAGGCGGUAAUGUAAGUCAGACGUGAAAUCCUUCGGCUCAACUGAAGAACUGCGUCUGAAACUGCAUGACUAGAGUGCAGAAGAGGGAAACGGAAUUCCAGGUGUAGAGGUGAAAUUCAUAGAUAUCUGGAGGAACACCGGUGGCGAAGGCGGUUUCCUGGUCUGACACUGACGCUGAGGCGCGAAAGCGUGGGGAGCAAACAGGAUUAGAUACCCUGGUAGUCCACGCCGUAAACGGUGGGUACUGGGUGUGGGAGGUGUAAUGCCUUCUGUGCCGAAGCUAACGCGUUAAGUACCCCGCCUGGGGAGUACGGCCGCAAGGUUGAA
rnacentral:rRNA from 1 species